rnacentral:tRNA from 1 species
GCCCGGGUGGUGGAACGGUAGACACUGGAGACUUAAAAUCUCUUGCCCGAAAGGGCGUGCGGGUUCGAGUCCCGCCCCGGGCACCC